GUGCUCGCUUCAGCAGCACAUACGCUAAAAUUGGAAUGAUACAAAGAAGAUUAGCAUGACCCCUGUGCAAGAAAGACAUGCAAAUUAGUGAAGCGUUCCAUACUUUU